GGUAGAUGGCUCAGAGGUUAGAGCGUAGGGCUUGUGACCGAACGAUCCCGAGUUCGAAACUCGCAAGACGCA
rnacentral:tRNA from 1 species